GGGAGCUUGCUCCCUUAGGUCAGCGGCGGACGGGUGAGUAACACGUGGGUAACCUGCCUGUAAGACUGGGAUAACUCCGGGAAACCGGGGCUAAUACCGGAUGCUUGAUUGAACCGCAUGGUUCCAAUCAUAAAAGGUGGCUUUCAGCUACCACUUACUGAUGGACCCGCGGCGCAUUAGCUAGUUGGUGAGGUAACGGCUCACCAAGGCGACGAUGCGUAGCCGACCUGAGAGGGUGAUCGGCCACACUGGGACUGAGACACGGCCCAGACUCCUACGGGAGGCAGCAGUAGGGAAUCUUCCGCAAUGGACGAAAGUCUGACGGAGCAACGCCGCGUGAGUGAUGAAGGUUUUCGGAUCGUAAAACUCUGUUGUUAGGGAAGAACAAGUACCGUUCGAAUAGGGCGGCACCUUGACGGUACCUAACCAGAAAGCCACGGCUAACUACGUGCCAGCAGCCGCGGUAAUACGUAGGUGGCAAGCGUUGUCCGGAAUUAUUGGGCGUAAAGCGCGCGCAGGCGGUUUCUUAAGUCUGAUGUGAAAGCCCCCGGCUCAACCGGGGAGGGUCAUUGGAAACUGGGGAACUUGAGUGCAGAAGAGGAGAGUGGAAUUCCACGUGUAGCGGUGAAAUGCGUAGAGAUGUGGAGGAACACCAGUGGCGAAGGCGACUCUCU
rnacentral:rRNA from 1 species